CAACUGUCAAAGAUGUCGUUCUAUACUCGCGGCUUGCAGGAUUUACCUCAUGUAAACAUCAAUGAUGUUCACCGCCUAAUUCAGGCAACCUCAAAGGCUUCAUUAAGAAAACGUGAAAAGGGGUUUAGGCUGUACAUAUCCAGCUAUAUCCAUGACUAGGGAGGUUGUUCUCAAAGACUGUAAACCUGUGGAGCUGUGGACCCAUCAAUGCUGGUGUGUGGCAGGGCUUGCACUAUGCAAUCAUAUUUCCGCAUUGCUUUACCAGACCUCACAUUACAGCCAGCAGGGAGCAACGGCUGUCCCCCCUACUCACAGCUGCACAGGAUCUGAGCAGCAGUGGCACAGACCCAGAACCCAGGUGAUGUUUCCAACACUACCAGAAUUAUCACAUUAUGUCAUUCGUUUCCAGGGCUUUAAGCGUGGUCCGACGAAUGAGAUGGUGGUGUUGUCAGCUAGGCCCAAAGAGAGAACAUUGGCCGAAGGGAUCAGCUGCAUAUGAAUUCUCUAGCAACAUCAGAGGCCAUGGCGCACCACAUUGAGAAAACAGCACACUGAAGGAAUGGCAUCUACUAAGAAAGCCGCUUGUGACUUCCUCUAGAUUCAGAGAGGUUUGCCAUGUGAGAGGACAGUCCUCAGCACAGAGCCUGGCACUGAGAAUUUUGCGGCCAGGCUAUCAGAGUGGAGAAAUGAAGAGGAGCCUCAGAUGGAGUCCAAAGCAGUAGAAGAAUACUGAUGUGUUAAGGAGGUAAAUCCCUACCCUUGUGGUUUUAUCAUCCAACCCGAUACACCUUGGCUUGGCUCAUCACCAGAUGGGUUGGUGUAUGACCCUAAAGCUUAACUUGUGUUUGGACUGCUGGAAGUGAAGUGCCCAAAUGUGAGAAGCUAUGUAGACUGUGCCUACCUUAGGGUCUCUGAUGGAGUGUUACAGCUCAAGCAGUCACACAAACUACUGGCAGGUACAGGGCCAACUACUCGUCACUGGUUUGAAGUGGUGCGAUUUUGUUGUCUUCGCUGAAGAGGGCAUCUUCAUUCAAAGAAUACCCAGAGAUGGGGGAGUCAUAAGAACAAUCAAACACAAAGUUGACUACUUGUACUUUUACUGUUAUCUACCAAUGCUUUUGGCUUGAAAAUGUCCGUUAUUAA